AACGAACGCUGGCGGCAGGCCUAAUACAUGCAAGUCGAACGGGCGUAGCAAUACGUCAGUGGCGGACGGGUGAGUAACACGUGGGAACGUACCCUUCGGUUCGGAAUAACCCAGGGAAACUUGGACUAAUACCGGAUACGUGCGAGAGCAGAAAGAUUUAUCGCCGAAGGAUCGGCCCGCGUCCGAUUAGCUAGUUGGUGAGGUAAUGGCUCACCAAGGCGACGAUCGGUAGCUGGCUGAGAGGAUGAUCAGCCACACUGGGACUGAGACACGGCCCAGACUCCUACGGGAGGCAGCAGUGGGGAAUAUUGGACAAUGGGCGCAAGCCUGAUCCAGCCAUGCCGCGUGAGUGAUGAAGGCCCUAGGGUUGUAAAGCUCUUUCGCCAGGGACGAUAAUGACGGUACCUGGAUAAGAAGCCCCGGCUAACUUCGUGCCAGCAGCCG
rnacentral:rRNA from 1 species